CCCCGAACCUGGGGGCCCGGCAGCGGACGGGCGGAGGGGCGAGCAGGGUGAUGCAGCUGGGCGGGGACGAGGACAGGAACGGGGCACGGACGGGAUGGGGACAGUGACGGGGACAGCUCCAGGACGCGCCUGGGGCGGAGAACGUAUGUCCUGCCCCGAAGCACAAAGCAGGUGGUGAUGAGGGCCAAACCGAAGUCAGGAGCCCACACGGAGGCUUCCUUUCUGAAGCCGGUUUCCUUCUAAGACUGAACAUGCAACAGCACAUGGGCUAGUCUUGAGCCCAGAUGACAUCACUUCUGCCAAAUGAGACACAAAGGAGUUGAGUCACAGUCACAGUGCAACUGGCAGUGAGCAUUUCAGAGGGAGUCACUGUGUCUGUCACAGUGGUCACACUAAAGGACACCACAGUAAUGCCAUCAGCAAAACCAGGUAUGCAACAAACAACCCAGCUUCUUCUAUAAAUAAAUUGCAAGCAAAA